UUGACCUCGGAUCAGGUAGGGAUACCCGCUGAACUUAAGCAUAUCAAUAAGCGGAGGAAAAGAAACCAACAGGGAUUGCCCUAGUAACGGCGAGUGAAGCGGCAACAGCUCAAAUUUGAAAUCUGGCGUCUUUGGCGUCCGAGUUGUAAUUUGCAGAGGGCGCUUUGGCAUUGGCAGCGGUCCAAGUUCCUUGGAACAGGACGUCACAGAGGGUGAGAAUCCCGUACGUGGUCGCUAGCCUUUACCGUGUAAAGCCCCUUCGACGAGUCGAGUUGUUUGGGAAUGCAGCUCUAAAUGGGAGGUAAAUUUCUUCUAAAGCUAAAUACUGGCCAGAGACCGAUAGCGCACAAGUAGAGUGAUCGAAAGAUGAAAAGCACUUUGGAAAGAGAGUUAAAAAGCACGUGAAAUUGUUGAAAGGGAAGCGCUUGCAGCCAGACUUGCCUGUAGUUGCUCAUCCGGGUAUUAUCCGGUGCACUCUUCUACGGGCAGGCCAGCAUCAGUUUGGGCGGUUGGAUAAAGGUCUCUGUCAUGUACCUCCUUUCGGGGAGAUCUUAUAGGGGAGACGCAAUGCAACCAGCCUGGACUGAAGGUCCGCGCAUC
rnacentral:rRNA from 1 species